rnacentral:rRNA from 1 species
GAUGAACGCUGGCGGCGUGCCUAAUACAUGCAAGUCGAGCGAAUGGAUUGAGAGCUUGCUCUUAUGAAGUUAGCGGCGGACGGGUGAGUAACACGUGGGUAACCUGCCCAUAAGACUGGGAUAACUCCGGGAAACCGGGGCUAAUACCGGAUAACAUUUUGAACCGCAUGGUUCGAAAUUGAAAGGCGGCUUCGGCUGUCACUUAUGGAUGGACCCGCGUCGCAUUAGCUAGUUGGUGAGGUAACGGCUCGCCAAGGCAACGAUGCGUAGCCGACCUGAGAGGGUGAUCGGCCACACUGGGACGGAGACACGGCCCAGACUCCUACGGGAGGCAGCAGUAGGGAAUCUUCCGCAAUGACGAAAGUCUGACGGAGCAACGCCGCGUGAGUGAUGAAGGCUUUCGGGUCGUAAAACUCUGUUGUUAGGGAAGAACAAGUGCUAGUUGAAUAAGCUGGCACCUUGACGGUACCUAACCAGAAAGCCACGGCUAACUACGUGCCAGCCGCCGCGGUAA